AUAUGUUUAUCAUGAUAACUUCAUCUGUGCAUUUGAUAUGAACAGUAUGUAAUUCAAACGGGAGGAAAGUAUUUAGCGUUUGGACAUGGGUAGGAUGUAACAUAUGGAUUUUCAAAUAUUAUGUAGUGGUCGGCAUGGAUUUGUGGUGGCGGUUACAGGGAUAGAAAAUGUUGGAAAAGGGUUAAUUCGUGAUGGUACAGGGUUCGUGACAUUUCCGGUUAAGUACCAAUGUGUCGUCUUCAGACCAUUUAAGGGAGAGAUCUUAGAAGCUGUUGUUACCAUGGUGAAUAAGAUGGGAUUUUUUUGCUGAAGCUGGACCUGUUCAAAUCUUCGUCUCAAACCAUUUGAUUCCAGAUGAUAUGGAGUUCCAGUCUGGUGACAUGCCAAAUUACACUACUUCAGAUGGAUCAGUUAAGAUUCAGAAAGAUAGUGAAGUGAGACUAAAGAUAAUUGGGACUCGAGUGGAUGCUACCGAAAUUUUCUGCAUAGGAACCAUAAAAGAUGAUUUCUUGGGUGUGAUCAACGACCCUGUAGCAAUCUAAAUGCGCCUUUCAGUGCCCUUCUAUGCAUGUAAUUAUCAAACUCUAUCAUUAUAGCUGAAUUUACUAAGUUGUCAGUGAAUUUACCUGGUCGAUGGAUCAAACUUUCUUAUUAUAUCACUGUGUUCAUGGUUGCAUCAGUGAACAACCUUGAAUUCCACUAAAAAUUUGGUCGUGUUUGUAUCUGCCAUUUUGUUAAAUAAUCACUUAUUUAUAAUCA